AUUGAUGAAUCAAAACACAACAAUAUUCAUUUUUAUCAACAUUCAAUUCCCGUCUUCCCCAAUUUCAUUGUCAAAACUAAUUCACCAAUUCUUCGACUAUCUAAUCCAACAUCAACCACACGCAAUAAAAUUGAAGCAUGUCAAACACACAAAUCACCCAAAAUUACGUAAAAUUAAAAGGGAGAUAGAAUUGGACCUCAAU
rnacentral:lncRNA from 1 species